rnacentral:rRNA from 1 species
AUUGAACGCUGGCGGCAGGCCUAACACAUGCAAGUCGAACGGUAACAGGAAGAAGCUUGCUUCUUUGCUGACGAGUGGCGGACGGGUGGGUAAUGUCUGGGAAACUGCCUGAUGGAGGGGGAUAACUACUGGAAACGGUAGCUAAUACCGCAUAACGUCGCAAGACCAAAGAGGGGGACCUUCGGGCCUCUUGCCAUCAGAUGUGCCCAGAUGGGAUUAGCUAGUAGGUGGGGUAACGGCUCACCUAGGCGACGAUCCCUAGCUGGUCUGAGAGGAUGACCAGCCACACUGGAACUGAGACACGGUCCAGACUCCUACGGGAGGCAGCAGUGGGGAAUAUUGCACAAUGGGCGCAAGCCUGAUGCAGCCAUGCCGCGUGUAUGAAGAAGGCCUUCGGGUUGUAAAGUACUUUCAGCGGGGAGGAAGGGAGUGAAGUUAAUACCUUUGCUCAUUGACGUUACCCGCAGAAGAAGCACCGGCUAACUCCGUGCCAGCAGCCGCCGUAA